GAUGAACGCUGGCGGCGUGCUUAACACAUGCAAGUCGAACGGAAAGGCCCUGCUUUUGUGCGGUGCUCGAGUGGCGAACGGGUGAGUAUCACGUGUGUAUCCUGCCCUUGACUUUCGGAUAACAUCAGGAAACUGGGGCUCAUAUAGGAUAGGAGCUCCUGCUGCAUGGUGGGGGAUGGAAAGUUUCGGCGGUUGUGGUUGGACUCGCGGCUUACCCGCUAGUUGGUGGGGGAGUGGCUUACGAAGUGUUGGACGGGUAGCCGACCUGAGAGGGUGACCGGCCACAAUGGGACUGAGAGACGCACCAGACUCCAACGGGAGGCAACAGUGGAAAAUAUGACACAGUGGGCGCAAGCGAGAUGCAGCAACGCCGGGUGCGGAAAGACGGGCUUCGGGUGAUGAACCGCUGUCGCCUGUGACGAAGCGGGAGUGACGGUAAUGGAUAAAGAAGCAACGGCUAACUACGUG
rnacentral:rRNA from 1 species